AACGAACGCUGGCGGCGUGCUUAACACAUGCAAGUCGAACGCGAAAGGGACUUCGGUCCUGAGUAGAGUGGCGCACGGGUGAGUAACGCGUAGAUAAUCUGUCCUUGUGUCUGGAAUAAUACGUCGAAAGGUGUACUAAUACCGGAUAUUCUUGUUUUUCUUAAGACAGGCAAGCAAAGGUGGCCUCUGACAUAAGCUACUGCAUAAGGAGGAGUCUGCGUACCAUUAGCUAGUAGGUGGGGUAAUGGCCUACCUAGGCUACGAUGGUUAACGGGUCUGAGAGGAUGAUCCGUCACACUGGCACUGGAACACGGGCCAGACUCCUACGGGAGGCAGCAGUGAGGGAAUAUUGCGCAAUGGGGGCAACCCUGACGCAGCGACGCCGCGUGAGUGAGGGAAGGCCUUCGGGUCGUAAAGCUCUGUCAAAGGGAAAGAAGUGCAUGGGUGGCUAAUACCUGCCAUGUUUGACGGUACCC
rnacentral:rRNA from 1 species